rnacentral:rRNA from 1 species
GACGAACGCUGGCGGCGUGCUUAACACAUGCAAGUCGAACGGAAAGGCCCUGCUUUUGUGGGGUGCUCGAGUGGCGAACGGGUGAGUAACACGUGAGUAACCUGCCCUUGACUUUGGGAUAACUUCAGGAAACUGGGGCUAAUACCGGAUAGGAGCUCCUGCUGCAUGGUGGGGGUUGGAAAGUUUCGGCGGUUGGGGAUGGACUCGCGGCUUAUCAGCUUGUUGGUGGGGUAGUGGCUUACCAAGGCUUUGACGGGUAGCCGGCCUGAGAGGGUGACCGGCCACAUUGGGCCUGAGGUACGGCCCAGACUCCUACGGGAGGCAGCAGUGGGGAGUAUUGCACAAUGGGCGGAAGCCUGAUGCAGCAACGCCGCGUGCGGGAUGACGGCCUUCGGGUUGUAAACCGCUUUCGCCUGUGACGAAGCGUGAGUGACGGUAAUGGGUAAAGAAGCACCGGCUAACUACGUG